rnacentral:pre_miRNA from 1 species
UAGGUACUCCCUCCGUCUCAAAAUUCUUGUCUUAGAUUCAUCUAGAUACGGAUGUAUCUAAUACUAAAACAUGAUUUGAUACAUCCGUAUUUAGACAAAUCUAAGACAAGAAUUUUGGGACGGAGGGAGUACUAA